rnacentral:rRNA from 1 species
UACGAAGGGGGCUAGCGUUGCUCGGAAUCACUGGGCGUAAAGGGUGCGUAGGCGGGUCUUUAAGUCAGGGGGGAAAUCCUGGAGCUCAACUCCAGAACUGCCUUUGAUACUGAGGAUCUUGAGUUCGGGAGAGGUGAGUGGAACUGCGAGUGUAGAGGUGAAAUUCGUAGAUAUUCGCAAGAACACCAGUGGCGAAGGCGGCUCACUGGCCCGAUACUGACGCUGAGGCGCGAAAGCGUGGGGAGCAAACGGG